GACGAACGCUGGCGGCGUGCUUAACACAUGCAAGUCGAACGGAAAGGCCCCUUUGGGGGUCCUCGAGUGGCGAACGGGUGAGUAACACGUGAGUAACCUGCCCUUGACUUCGGGAUAACUUCAGGAAACUGGGGUUAAUACCGGAUAGGAAUCCUUGCUGCAUGGUGGGGGUUGGAAAGCUUCGGCGGUUUUGGAUGGACUCGCGGCUUAUCAGCUUGUUGGUGGGGUAGUGGCUUACCAAGGCUUUGACGGGUAGCCGGCCUGAGAGGGCGACCGGCCACAGUGGGACUGAGAUGCGGCCCAGACUCCGACGGGAGGCAGCAGUGGGGAAUAUUGCACAAUGGGCGGGAGCCUGAUGCAGCAACGCCGCGUGCGGGAUGACGGCCUUCGGGUUGUAAACCGCUUUCAGCAGGGGCGAAGCUUGUGGUGACGGUACCUGCAGAAGAAGCACCGGCUAACUACGUG
rnacentral:rRNA from 1 species